AGACCAGUUAUCACAUACCAUGGAUCAACCUCGGGAAUUUGGAUAAUGGGUGACGGUCUCCCCUCUAUUUAAAGAGGCAAGAAGGGGACCCCCAAGUAAAAGCUCUCAUCCACAGGACAACCAUGUUUCUCUUUCUCUCUUUCUCUCUCUCUCUUUCUCUCUCUCUUAACUAUUCCCAAGGCUCCAGCUAACUUAAGCAUUGGAGGAUAGCGUGCC
rnacentral:lncRNA from 1 species